rnacentral:rRNA from 1 species
GCGGUGGAGUAUGUGGUUUAAUUCGAUGCAACGCGAAGAACCUUACCUGGUCUUGACAUCCCAGAAAUCCCUUGGAAACUUGGGAGUGCUUCCAUUAGGAAGAAUCUGGAGACAGGUGCUGCAUGGAACUGUCGUCAGCUCGUGUCGUGAGAUGUUGGGUUAAGUCCCGCAACGAGCGCAACCCUUGCCUUUAGUUGCCAGCAGUUCGGCUGGGCACUCUAAAGGGACUGCCGGUGUUAAACCGGAGGAAGGUGGGGAUGACGUCAAGUCCUCAUGGCCUUUAUGACCAGGGCUACACACGUACUACAAUGGCCGAUACAAAGGGCAGCGACAUCGCGAGGUGAAGCCAAUCCCAUAAAAUCGGUCUCAGUCCGGAUUGGAGUCUGCAACUCGACUCCAUGAAGUUGGAAUCGCUAGUAAUCGUGGAUCAGCAUGCCACGGUGAAUACGUUCCCGGGCCUU